rnacentral:ncRNA from 1 species
UGCAAUAGUAAUCCUGCUCAGUUUGAGAGGAACCACACUUUCAGACAUUUGGUGUCUGUGCCUGGUGAAGAAGCCAGUGGUGCAAAACUGCCAUCUGUGGGAUUAUGACUGAACGCCUCCAAGUCAGAAUCCCACCUAAAAGGUG